AAGGGACCUAGCGUAGUUCGGAAUUACUGGGCUUAAAGAGUUCGUAGGUGGUUGAAAAAGUUGGUGGUGAAAUCCCAGAGCUUAACUCUGGAACUGCCAUCAAAACUUUUCAGCUAGAGUAUGAUAGAGGAAAGCAGAAUUUCUAGUGUAGAGGUGAAGUUCGUAGAUAUUAGAAAGAAUACCAAUUGCGAAGGCAGCUUUCUGGAUCAUUACUGACACUGAGGAACGAAAGCAUGGGUAGCGAAGAGGAUUAGAUACCCUCGUAGUCCAUGCCGUAAACGAUGUGUGUUAGACGUUGGAAAUUUAUUUUCAGUGUCGCAGGGAAACCGAUAAACACACCGCCUGGGGAGUACAACCGCAAGGUUAAAACUCAAAUGAAUUGACGGGGACCCGCACAAGUAGUGGAGCAUGUGGUUUAAUUCGAAGAUACGCGCAGAACCUUACCAACACUUGACAUGUUCGUCGCGACUCUAAGAGAUUAGAGUUUUCGGUUCGGCCGGACGAAACACAGGUGCUGCAUGGCUGUCGUCAGCUCGUGUCGUGAGAUGUUGGGUUAAGUCCCGCAACGAGCGCAACCCUCACUUUUAGUUGCCAUCAUUAAGUUGGGCACUCUGAAAGAACAGCCAGUGAUAAGCUGGAGGAAGGUGGGGAUGACGUCAAGUCCUCAUGGCCCUUACGUGUUGGGCUACACACGUGCUACAAUGGCAUCUACAACAGGAAGCAAAACGGCAACGUUAAGCAAAUCCCGAAAAGAUGCCUCAGUUCGGAUUGCACUCUGCAACUCGAGUGCAUGAAGCUGGAAUUACUAGUAAUCGUGGAUCAGCGUGCCACGGUGAAUGCGUUCCCGGGUCUUGUACACACCGCCCGUCACACCAUGGGAGUUGGUUCUACCUUAAGGCAAGGUUUUAAACCCUUGACCACGGUAUAGUCAGCGACUGGGGUGAAGUCGUAACAAGGUAGCCGUAGGGGAACCUGCGGCUGGAUUACCUCCUUUCUAAGGAUGAGUGAAAGUAAAAUUUCACUCUAAAUAAUAUACAUCGGUAAUGUUGACCGUCCUCAUUUCUCUUCUUAAAGUAAUGUUUCCUUCUUGUAGGGCCGGUAGCUCAGUUGGUUAGAGCACACCCUUGAUAAGGGUGGGGUCGAAAGUUCGAGUCUUUCUCGGCCCACCAAAAACCUAAAUGGGGGAUUAGCUCAUCUGGGAGGGCGCCUGAUUUGCAUUCAGGAGGUAGCAGGUUCGAUCCCUGUAUCCUCCACCAGGAAACAUUUAGUUAUUAAAACUGUAAAUAAAGAUAAUUUAUAUCAAUAUCUAUAUCCGAACAUUAAAAGUUAUUAUUUAAUGUUCAAAAUAAAAAUUUGAUCACAACAUAGAUAAAUUUUCUGUUAAAAGAAUUUUUUUCUGUGCAUAAAUCAAGCGUUUAAGGGCGUGUAGUGGAUGCCUUGGCACUGAAAGCCGAUGAAGGACGUGAUAUACUGCGAUAAGUUUCGGGGAGCUGUAUGUAAGCUUUGAUCCGAAAAUUU
rnacentral:sRNA from 1 species